rfam:Triticum urartu cultivar G1812 contig144227, whole genome shotgun sequence.
CCUGUACUUCCUCUGUCCGAAAAAUUUGUCCCUUAAAUGGAUAUAUUUAGCACCAAAUUAGUGCUAGAUACAUCCAUUUACGAAACAAGUUUGGGACAAGCUUUUUUGAACGGAGGGAGUAGCUU